rnacentral:rRNA from 1 species
UGGGGAAUAUUGCACAAUGGGCGCAAGCCUGAUGCAGCCAUGCCGCGUGUGUGAAGAAGGCCUUCGGGCUGUAAAGCACUUUCAGCGGGGAGGAAGGCGUUAAGGUUAAUAACCUUGGCGAUUGACGUUACCCGCAGAAGAAGCACCGGCUAACUCCGUGCCAGCAGCCGCGGUAAUACGGAGGGUGCAAGCGUUAAUCGGAAUUAUUGGGCGUAAAGGGUACGCAGGCGGUUUAAUAAGUCGAAUGUUAAAGAUCGGGGCUCAACCCCGUAAAGCAUUGGAAACUGAUAAACUUGAGUAGUGGAGAGGAAAGUGGAAUUCCUAGGGUAGUGGUGAAAUACAUAGAUAUUAGGAGGAAUACCAGUGGCGAAGGCGACUUUCUGGACACAAACUGACGCUGAGGUACGAAAACGUGGGGAGCAAACAGG